UGCCCCUUGGCAAUGGGCAAAGAGACACCUUGUUGUUGGUGUUAUUCUCAUAUCAGGGGCAGAGCAGAUGGCCAUCCUUCACUCAUCGUAGCUUGAAGCCUGGCAUGGUGGACAAAGCUGUCUUAUGCCCAGGAUUCAUAC